UUGGGGAAGUAUUUUCAGACAAGGAACAGAAAAGAUGAGUACAUCAACAAGUGAGAAAUCAACAACAGCCAGUGAUUUUAGGAAAUAAUCUAAACAAUCACUUGGGAGUUUCAAGAACACUUGAACAGACCGUGAAAAAGAGUUAAAGUCUGCAAAAGGUUGUGUUUGAUGAGUAUACAUUGAUUAUCAUGCUGCACAUUGGAGCUGAUAGAUCUGGUAUGGCAUUCGUUGAAGCACUACAUUCAUCGGGUGAUGAAGCCCUGCAAUAAAGAGAAACUAAUGGAAGCAAUUAGGAAAGAACACCUGUCGGUGGAAGACUGCAACCUCUACAUUGACCAUAGCCAGAAAUUGGUCCCAAUUGUUAUUCACAACAAUGGAAGGCCUCUGGACUGUGAAUGCAGGCAAUGAUGGAAUGCAAUAAAAUUUGCAAAUGAGUUUUCACAUUGUCCAAUAAAAUUCUAUGACUUCGUCAAUCUGUGUUGACACAGCCCAACACAUGGCUAAACAAUAAAAUGAUGUAACUGAG